CUACGUGCCAGCAGCCGCGGUAAUACGGAGGGUGCGAGCGUUAAUCGGAAUAACUGGGCGUAAAGGGCACGCAGGCGGUGACUUAAGUGAGAUGUGAAAGCCCCGAGCUUAACUUGGGAAUUGCAUUUCAUACUGGGUCGCUAGAGUACUUUAGGGAGGGGUAGAAUUCCACGUGUAGCGGUGAAAUGCGUAGAGAUGUGGAGGAAUACCGAAGGCGAAGGCAGCCCCUUGGGAAUGUACUGACGCUCAUGUGCGAAAGCGUGGGGAGCAAACAGGAUUAGAUACCCUGGUAGUCCACGCUGUAAACGAUGUCGAUUUGGGGAUUGGGCUUUGAGCUUGGUGCCCGUAGCUAACGUGAUAAAUCGACCGCCUGGGGAGUACGGCCGCAAGGUUAAAACUCAAAUGAAUUGACGGGGGCCCGCACAAGCGGUGGAGCAUGUGGUUUAAUUCGAUGCAACGCGAAGAACCUUACCUACUCUUGACAUCCAUGGAAUUCUGUAGAGAUACGGGAGUGCUUCGGGA
rnacentral:rRNA from 1 species